UUGUAAAUGGAAUUAUUUUCUUAAUUUCCUUUUUGGAUUGUUUAUUGUUAGUUGUAGAAAUGUAACCGAUUUUUGUGUGUUCAUUUUGUAUCCUUCAACUUUGCUGAAUUUAUUAGUUCUAAUUGCCCUGCUUUUAAAAUCAAAUUAAUUCCAACAUUCAAAUCUUAAUUAAAUUCACAUAAAACUCUAGACUUCCUUUUUGUCAUAAAAUAUUGGAAGAUGUGGCACCUCUGAGCUGACAUUCCCACAUGGCACCCACCGCUUGAGGUCUAGUGGCAGCUCCUGCCUUUGGUGGAGGUGACCAUCCUUUAGCACGCUCCAGCCCCACCACCCUUUCUGUCUCUGCUUACCAACCUCAUCCACAAGUUCUGCUCUGGCUGGCCCCUCAUGCAUUCAGCAUUCUUCCUACAGGUACUUACUGAACACCUACUGUGUACCAGGCACUGUUCCAGGCACUGGGAGUACAGUGCUGAACACAACAGACAAAAAUCCCUGCCUUCGCAUAUAUCAUCUCGUUUAAUCCUCGAGACAGCUUCCAUGAGGUAGCCUCAUUAUACAAAUAAGGAAACUAAGAGACAUAGAGAACUUAAGAGACUUGUCCAAGGUUACCCAGCAGGUAAGGGGAUGUCUGGAUUAGAACCUGGGCAGCCUGGCUUUAGAAUUCGAAUUGUCAGCUGCUAUUACUGCCCAUCAGUGGCGGAAGGACCCAGAGGUGAAGACUUGGCAACAGAGGCAGGGUGGCGUGGACAGGGGACAGAUAGGCCUGGCCGGUGGUCAUACAGCCAGGAUCAGGCCUUCUGUGGGCUCCACAGGGUGUGCUCCCAGGGCCGCCCCGCUGGCCUCUGGGCUGAGUUUCCUUGAGGUUGUCUGGAUCCCAGACCCUCUGGCCUUCCCAGCUCAGCAGCUUCAGCCUGGGAGAGCCCGCUUUUCCUCAGCAGACAGCUGAUGAUCGUUGACUGGGCUUGGUGGGAGGUAAGGAGGUAACCAGCAGGUUUUCUUUCUGUGAUGGUAAGAGGCCGCCUUGGAAGCAGACAGCUGAGAAAACACAAAGACCUGGGCUGGCUGGCCCCACCCUUGGUCGAGCCGCUUCUGCCUGUGAAGUGUAAAUGCAGGUGGUGUCAAGCCGGCAGACAGGCCCAGCUCCCUCUUCCCCUUGAGCAGGCAGGGUGACGCCCCCUGCAGCAGGCCCGUGAUUCAGUUGCUCUGGCUGAUGAGGAGCCUGGGCCCGGGAGGAGUGUCGCACAGCCCCAGCCUGGUCCGUCCUCAGCCCUGGAUUGACGUCCAUGCUGUCCUGGGACCGUUUCAGCCGCCUAGUGGGGAGUCUGCUUUCUCCUCCGUCCUGUGUCUUGGGCUCAGGCAUGUGCCUGCUGCCCCUUUGUGGCCACAAGUAUGUAUCGGGCCCAGGGUGGCACUCGGGACCCUCCCCUGUUGGGCUUAGAGACAUGGACGGCCCUUGCUGGCUGGAAGCUGCGGUGAGUGUGUGAAGGGCCCUCAGUCUUCCCUGAGGAAGGCCCUGCCUGCUCUUGGCUCUCACUGCUCCCAGGCCAUCUUCCAUCCGCUUUCCCCAGGUGCCUCCGUUUCUCUCUGACUUCUUGCCUGUUUUCCCUAACUCUGAGAGAUUGCCUGCCUUCAAGUGCAGGAGAAAGCAGACAUCUUCCCUACAAGCCCGAGACCUAGCCCCCAGUAGAGCUGGCCAACCACCUGCCACGGAGCAGGCCACUGGUGCCUUGGCCAGAGUGCUCGUGGUGCCAGUCUGCUGCGUCUCAGUCACAUUCCCCCUGCUUUGCUGCCCUCAAGAAGCCAGAGAUGACCUAGUGUCUGACACCUCUGAACAAAGGGGCCUUUAGAGCCCCUUCCUCAACUCCCUCACCAUCCCCCAUGCUCCCCAGCCUGCCCUGGUUGCGGUUGCGGCCACUUCCUUUUGGGUGCCCCUCUGAGAUUCUGGACAGAGCCCAGGAGCCCCCAGGUUCCCAUUGUGAUGCAAGGACAGAACAGAACCCUGGGCCGCAGGCAGGUGGCUGGUGGGUAUCCCGCCUCCCACCCCCAGCAAACACUGGCAAACCCCACUCUCCCUGCAUCAGGGUCUGAGUGCCUGGCAGGGGCGGCAGUGGAGAUGAUCAAGGUUAGUGCGCCCAGCCCCAUGCUGAGGCAGCAGCCUUUCUGGGGAGGGAGGGGGCGUGGAAGGAGACUUCAACCUUUUGAAGAGGAAGUCAGUUCACUUAUGUCAGGGUAGGGAGAGUAGGAAUUACGUAUUCUUUGAGACUGAAAAAUUACUGGCCGGGCGCAGGGGCUCACAACGGUAAUCCCAGCACUUUGGGAGGCUGAGGCGGGAAGACUGCUUGAGGCCAGGAAUUCAAGGCCAGCUUGGGCAAAAUGGCAAGACCCUUCUAUAC
rnacentral:lncRNA from 1 species